GUCUCAUACGUUCUCUCUCAUUUGAUUCCAGAGGCAAGCGAGGGGUUAUUUAUCGAAGUAAUUUUUAUUCCCGUUUUGCAGAGGCAGAAUGUUCAGAGAGACUGCAGAGUCCAACCACAUCUCCUGGUUUCAAGUCUGGUCUUCCUGUCGUCCUACCUCACUGUCUCCUGCUGCAAAGGCUCUACGGGACAGGGAGUUAGAAAGCAAUCUUGUUCCCGCACUUGUAAGCACCAUGAAGACAUCUCAGAGGAAUACGACCACACAAAGACUGUCAGAUGGUAUUAUGCACAAAUUCAGCUUCUGGCUUGAGUGAAUAUGCACUGCCCCCUUGUGGUCACAAGAGGCCACAAGUGAUUGUCCACAAAGGACGCAACACCCAGGAAGCCUUGGAAAUGGGGUUCAAGUGGCACAUUUGGCAUGAUUGAUGGUGCUGAUUUAUGAAGCCAUGUUUUCCCUGCUUAGGUGGCAAUUGCAGGAACUUGCUCCACUGAAUUUGUCUGAUGACAUAAAAAUCCCCAAAACAUACACAGCUCCUUUUGGACAUGGAACAAUCUUCUAUGAUACUAAAUCUUUCAUUGACUUAUCAGCAUUUACUCAAUAAAUAUUUAUUGCCUACUAAGAGUAAAUAAUUUUUCUGGACAUUGAGAAUAUCUGUG
ensembl:lncRNA